CAGUAAAAAACUUUAUUGAUCUGUUUCUUUAUCAAGAAGAUACUUCCACAUUUUUCACCUGUGUAAUUUAGAGUUCCCGGGUAUCUGAAAUUACAGACCAGCCUAAAUUUAGAGUUCAAUUUUUACAUUCACAGAGGCAGAAAAAAACAACAGUAAUUUCUAGAUUCAUAGAGGCCGCUCCUUUCAACGGACAAUUGAAAGAAAUUUAGAGAAAAAAAACAACAGUAACUGUCCAAACGGCUAGAUUUUCAUACCUUUAAUUGUCUUCUGUGAUGAGAUUGAGAUGCAUUUGCAAUUGCAAUCAAGCAAUUAUACAAUUUCAUAGCAUGGCUGUGCUUUCCGGUAGUACUGUGAUCAUUAGGUCUGGAGAAUUAUAGACAUUCGCUGCUGUAUUUCAUAGCAUGGCUUGGGGUGGGAGGUGCUUUACGGUAUAUUGUGAUUAUUACCUGGAGCGUUCGCUGCUUUAUUUCAAGACAAGCAUCUCGAGGAGUGACAGGACAGGGGUGUUUUACAAGGCUGAGGACAUGCUAGCAGAGUGAAACAGAGUUCAAGUGGGAGAUGAAGACAUUAGGGCAUCGCAAUCUGCUUUCUCUACUUGUUGUUUUGGGUGAAAUGUGCAAUUGCAAGCAAGCAAUUAUACAUAUUUGUGGAUGAUGCAACUCUAUUCAAAUUUCAUAGCAUAUCUGUGCAGAGGAAUUGGUCACCAGCAUGGAGUCAUUAUGAUUAGUAGCAAGAGCAUAAAGGCUCGAUGGACUAUCUGAGGCUUAAUCAGUAUACUGCAUAGUGCAUACUACAUGUAUGAUACUCACCAACCAAAACCAAAUAUAACAGACUAUCUGAUGGACUGGAAUGUAGGUUUUGCAUGAAUGAAAGACCCUGGCAAUUUGACACUGGAAGUUGAGCUUCGUGAUACAACGAGGGACCUAUUAUAAAGACUAAGUUAAUAAUUUGGUAAAGGCAAUGAAAGAAGCACCUGGGACUUAAUCAGCGUACUGCAUACUGCAUGUAUGAUACUCACCAACCAAAACCAUAACAGACUACCAGAUGGACUGGAAUGUAGUUUUUGCAUGUAAGAACCCUUAUACCAGGGAUUAACUCAUUCUUCUGCAUCAUAUCAUCCUAUUGUCCUUUGAUAAUGCCUUGAAUUGCUGUUAUAUAUUGUUGGCUUUGAUUUGGUAUUUUGAAUUACAAUGAAGAACUGGCAAUUCCAAAAAAGCUUAAAAAGCUUGUCUGUUUACAUAUAUUUACUAUAUUAACUGUUUGUUUGAAACCAUAGUUGAGCGCAAUGGUGUUCAAACUGGACCAAGUGUAAGACCCCUUUCUCUUCUUUGCUAAUUAUAAAUUCGUAUUAUUGUUGUUU